GCCAGCAUGGUGCAGUGGUGUGAGUGUUGGACUACAACUCUGGAGACCAGGGUUCGAUUUCCUGCUUGUCC